rnacentral:rRNA from 1 species
UACAGAGGUGGCAAGCGUUGUUCGGAAUUACUGGGCGUAAAGGGCGCGUAGGCGGCCCACUAAGUCAGACGUGAAAUCCCCCGGCUUAACCUGGGAACUGCGUCUGAUACUGGAGGGCUUGAGUAUGGGAGAGGGAUGUAGAAUUCCAGGUGUAGCGGUGAAAUGCGUAGAUAUCUGGAGGAAUACCGGUGGCGAAGGCGACAUCCUGGACCAUUACUGACGCUGAGGCGCGAAAGCUAGGGGAGCAAACGGG